AAGAAUAGAAUUGUAGUGCAUUAUCAUUUAUGGUGCAUAUUAUGGUUGGGAUGUUUCGUGGUUUCUGGUUUAUGUUGUUACUUCUGUAACUCGUUCAAAUAAAUACUAUUAAAAUGGAUGACUUUUGCUGAUUACGGUACAGUUUAUGACUGCAUGUUGUUUCGUAUUUGGAUGUAUGUUGUACUAUGUUGUCUAGGCAAAGAGCUUCAGUUACAUGCAUCUGUGUCUUAGUGAAUUGAAUGUAGUUUUACCUAGAAACUUGGAAAUAAUUUUGAAAAGCAUUUAGUGGAUGCAAAAGGUUGCCGUGAUGUUUACAGUAUAAGGAAAAUGCAGUGCAUGUAAGUAGUGACAUGAAAGUAGGAGUGGUCUGAAAGUAUGAGUGCCAUGACAAUGAUAUAAGCAACUUCUCUGGCAACAUUAAUUUUCGAAAUAUGUAGCAUGUGAAUUAACUUUGUGAACAAAAAUGUUGUAAUUAUCAUUAGAAAUCACGUGAUAUGUAGAUUCUGUGUCGAGGUGUUCAGUGUUAAAUUGCAAGGACAACAUGAUGGCGCGUCCAGGAAUUCCAAUAUACGUUUUAGGACAGACUAUGAAGGAGAUACGAAUGGUGACGUCAGUUUUAGUCGCAGAUAAAGGCGGCAUAAAUGAGGUACUGAAUGAUGUAUGGACCGUGCAUAGGAACGUUAAGCUACGCAAAGAAUAUACCACAAGGGCCGUGACUGUUGACAACAAGGGCUAUUCCGAUCGACCAUGUAUGGACAGAACUGCAUGUUGUCGCGAAUUUACAAGUUUAACAUGUACCCCACAACAAACAGAAUCACAGCAUAUGGAGUGCUUAAAAUCUGUCUCUGAUAUAAGUAACUCUGCAUUGAAUGAUAAUGGGUACGCAUCUGGGGACGAAACGGAUAAACAGAUUUCCGAAGACUGUGGCAUUGAAACUGAUAUCCAUGAAAUCGCUCUGUUGACGAAACCUAGAACAGAACUACCGUCUCUGAUACUUCACCGUUUUAUUCAUGCAGGCAUAUUUGUGCUUGCCGUUGAUACAGAACAGUUCGACAAAAACAUGGAGUUGUAUGAAAAGACGCUACGAGAACUUGGCACAUAUUCUGUUUUGACGAAAGCCGGAUAUACUGAACUUAUUGUUGUAAAUACCGGUGAACAAAGCAACCAAAAUAAGGAUGCAUGUGGUUUUAAAAAGAAUGCUCGAAAACUUUUCAACGCAAUACGGAAGUCGUAUUUCGGAUGUCAUUUUGGUACGUGUUGUAUAACUGAACUCGGACAGAAGAUAUGCGAGAUUGUAUCAAAAUACGAGAUGGAAAGGGCCUGGCCAACUGGAAAGUUUACAAAUCAACGUUCAAUGAUCCAAACUCUUGAACGAAAAGGCACGUUUACUGAGAUGGGCAAGGCUGAUAUAUCUGAAUCCACUUUGGAACAGAGCGGCAUGUUCUAUUUCCAAGUGAUUGAUACUGGUUAUAUAUGCUGUAGACCUGAUAAAUUGGUACAGAAAUAUAUCAGCUUGCUAGAAAUGUUGGAAAUGCGGGGUGCCCUUGCACCUAAUGUAUCUGUUGAUGAUUUUACACUGGAUAUUGAUUAUGAAGAAACCAAUAUCAUGCUGAGUGCACUUGUUGAAGCAAAGCUCAUAGAAGAAGAAGACGAAGACACAGUGCACCUGUUUCCAUUGGUAACACCAGUCCUUCUUCCUCAGUAUGACGAGAAAAGAACAUUCAAAAUUGAAACCAAUUUUCUACGCCUUGCCAUUGAUAUCAGUAUUGUACCGACAGUUCUUAUGGUAAAUAUCAUAAUGAGAUGUGUCCAUUUUGGAUGGGCUGUAAAAUCGAAAGCACCGAAAGCAUGCGAAUCGAGGGAUUCUGUAUUGUUGGAAAAAGGGUCCUUCGGUGUAGUAAUGACUUUCGACUCAGCAGAAAAUGUGUCUAAUGUUGGACUCUGUAUCAUACGAUUUCAGACUGAUGAAAAUGGUGAUGCGAAAUUUGAUUGUGGCGAGUGUGAAAAACUUAGAAACGCAGUUGAAUCAGAAGUUGAAUCCUGCACAUCGGUGCAUAAUCAUAAACUGGAAAGUGUAACAGUGUGUGGGCAGUACAUGAGAAGCAAAGACGAGAAGGAUCUCUUGAGGAUGAAAGAAGGAAAGUGGACAGAUGUUACGAAACUGAUGAGUAACAUUGACAAUGAGCUUGGUAUCAGUGAGGCGACGUUGCUGAAACACUGGUAUCCUGCAAAGUGUCAAGAGCUUGAGGAAACGAUGAACAAGAGCAUGAGAGACGAUGUGCUAGUUAAAAUUGCGGAAUUGUUCGGAAGAGGCUAUAAGAUUUUCUUCAUUGGACAGAAGAUUCCGUCGUCGUUUGUAGACCGGAUUGGACUUGAAAAUCAAAAUAAUGUAACGUAUACAGUGUUUCAGCUGCUGAAAGAAUGGGUUCGAAUAAAUGGAUACAAGGCAAAUCUUUCCACAUUAAGGACAGCAAUAACAGAGAGCUCAAUAAAUAUCGAUCUCUCGAAAUUUGAUGAAAUUGUAAAGGAAUCUCAGUAAAAUAUCGAAACACUUCUACAUAGAAGGCAGCAGUAUCACCAGCAACGUGUUCAAGAGACGAUGACUGACAUUCUAAACAAUCACUGAAUGUUAUUUCCAAGGAUACCAAAGUUUCGAUUAUCAAUUAAUGGUUCACUUAAGUUAUUUCUAAAGGCGAAAACAUUUUUGGUUAUUCCACUAAACAUGAAAACUUAAUUUGCUUCAGGCUUGUACUGGUAUAAAAUAAACUUAUCCAACCGUUUAACUCCCCCUCAAUAUUAUUGGCAAUAUCUAACAGAACAUUUACAAAAUAUUGUACACAUUGGGACAAAUAUGCUUUAAUAACAUAUUAUAAGAUUUUAAUACUGUAUUUUUUCUGAUAUAUGGUCAAAUAUCAAACUAAAUUGAUAUGAUAGGAUGAAAACGUAAUUUGUUGUUUUUUUAAUAAUGUUUCUGCCUUAUAACGUAAUUUGUUGGCUUUCAAAUUCUCCACAUAUAUUUCUGUGAAUUUUAAAAACUGGACUUAAGCCGUAAAAUAAAUAAAAUCCGAUUUUGUUGAAAUUUCAGUACGUAAUUAACAACAUAUUUAUCCAAUUUUGAAAAAAAAAACUUCAUAAAUUUUCUAUCAGAAUCAUAAAGAUAUUGCAGUGUUAACGUUAGAAGUUUCGAUAAGUGUAUUUAUUACAUACACGUUUCUAUUCACCGUUAAGUUACACUGGUACCGGGAACGUCAAUAUUUUUCCAUACACUGACGCCUGAAUUUCAUAUCGGGUGCGUGACGUAAUUCAGUGUGUGUUGUUGC
rnacentral:misc_RNA from 1 species